CACGCGACCUCAGCUCAGGCGGGGCUACCCGCU
rnacentral:rRNA from 1 species